rnacentral:rRNA from 1 species
GACGAACGCUGGCGGCGUGCUUAACACAUGCAAGUCGAACGGAAAGGCCCAGCUUGCUGGGUACUCGAGUGGCGAACGGGUGAGUAACACGUGGGUGAUCUGCCCUGCACUCUGGGAUAAGCCUGGGAAACUGGGUCUAAUACCGGAUAUGACCAACUGUCGCAUGGUGGUUGGUGGAAAGCUUUUGCGGUGUGGGAUGGGCCCGCGGCCUAUCAGCUUGUUGGUGGGGUAAUGGCCUACCAAGGCGACGACGGGUAGCCGACCUGAGAGGGUGAUCGGCCACACUGGGACUGAGACACGGCCCAGACUCCUACGGGAGGCAGCAGUGGGGAAUAUUGCACAAUGGGCGCAAGCCUGAUGCAGCGACGCCGCGUGAGGGAUGACGGCCUUCGGGUUGUAAACCUCUUUCACCAGGGACGAAGCGUGAGUGACGGUACCUGGAGAAGAAGCACCGGCCGACUACGUGCCAGCAGCCGCGGUAACAC